UAGCAGUAGAAAGAGGGAAGUGCUCAUGCCAUUGUACAGAACACUGGUGAGACCUCACUUGGAGUAUUGUACACAGUACUGGAGACCGUAUCUUCAGAAGGAUAUUGAUACCUUAGAGAGGGUUCAGAGAAGGGCUACUAAACUGGUUCAUGGAUUGCGAGAUAAAACUUACCAGGAAAGGUUAAAGGAUCUUAACAUGUAUAGCUUGGAGGAAAGACGAGACAGGGGGGAUAUGAUAGAAACAUUUAAAUAUAUAAAGGGAAUCAACACAGUAAAGGAGGAGACUAUAUUUAAAAGAAGAAAAACUACCACAACAAGAGGACAUAGUCUUAAAUUAGAGGGACAAAGGUUUAAAAAUAAUAUCAGGAAGUAUUACUUUACUGAGAGGGUAGUGGAUGCAUG